CCUUUUCCACCGUGGAUAUCCUGCGUGUGUGUUUUUUUUUUAAUAACAAGAUGGCUGAUGACAGCAGCUAGCCCGUAUAACAAGGACAGCAGAGCGACGUCCCCUUUUAAUGUCCUCCUAUUUUUAUAGUAAGCUUGGAAUAGUUACAAAUAUAUAUUCAAGAAAAUAAUGUAUUUGUUGUAUUCAAGCAACGGCGGCGUUUGUGACGAAAGUGCGGUUUAAAAUGUGUACCUGUGCUGCGAAAAUGGUGAGGUGAGUCGCUUUGCUUCCCCCCCACGAUUUUCGUCGAGAUAAGUCGAUUAAAUAUGUUGUUGGUCGACGGCGGGGGCGAGAGCAUACAAAUAAGCAGGACACCGAAGUAAAAUUAAAAACAGAAUAUUAUUCUAUGUGGGUGGGGGGAGCUUAUUCGAUCAAUGGGUGUUAAAGCGAGCAACAUUCCUACGGAUCCUUAAAGCUAAAUAAAAGCUCUUUUGUUCAGCAGCUUUGAUUGGAGCCCUUAAAAAAAAGCUACAACUAUGCAGUAAAACCGCAUCCAAAGCGACGGCCCGGCUAUGAUUUUAUGAUUUCUCCAUCUAAUAAGAUUAGCAGACCCUUUUGUUAUCGAGUGGAAAGUGCCAGAGAGAGCCGCGGCCUUGUAUGUGUGUGAGUGUGUGGAUUAUUAUUCAUCUCAUGGAAAUGGCGUGUUCCCGUCAAAACGAAACGGAGGCGUUAUUAAUCCGAGCCUUUUGUGGGCCUGCGGUGCGUUCAUGGCCCCUGUGCGCUUAACAGAAUCGGGCCGAGCCGAGCCGAACCUCCUGUGCUUCUCUGUUUGGGCUUUUGGGGACAAAACGGUGACUGUUAUAGGUUUAGAGUCAGGUUUAAAUAAAAAGUAGUAGUGUGUUAAUCAGGGUGUGGGCGCAGGUUAAUGACUCAAAAACCCCUGGCAGCUGUCAGUGCACGUGCAGGGGGUCCUGUGCACAUUUGCAUAUUGGGCUGCCCCUGGUUUAGUUAUCUGUGCCUUGUUUGGAUUCCAAGGUUUUACCUGCAGGUUGCUGCUUCCUGUAGGCCACACACAUACACACACGCCCUGUGUGUGCGUGUGUGUGUCACAGUUUACAGUAAUCUUCUAACGUCAGCCUCACUCUGUGUUUGUUUGUGUGUGUGUGUGUGUGUGUUCUCCUCUGGUCAGUUUUCCGGAACUCACCACAGCAAUAACUUAACAAGUCAGGGUGUCAGCGCAGAGAUAAACGCACACUUUCAGGACCGUGUCAGGUUAUUUUUUUUCUGGGAAGGGUAGGGUCGAAUUUCCUGAGAACACACGGUGAAGCCCAGAGGCAUCGUCGUAUGCCUGCCUGCGGCGUCAUGGCUUCCGACAUGGCCGAGACGUGGAAGAACUGCUUCGAGGAGGAGCUCAUCUGCCCCAUCUGCCUGCACGUCUUCUCCGAGCCCAUCCAGCUGCCCUGCAAGCACAAUUUCUGCCGGGCGUGCAUCAGCGAGGCCUGGGCCAAGGACUCCACGCUGGCCCGCUGCCCUGAGUGCAACCAUGCGUACAGCCAGAAGCCCAGCCUGGAGAAGAACCACAAGCUGUCCAACAUUGUAGAGAAGUACAACGCCCUCAGCGUGGAGAAGGUGUCGCUGCCGCCACCACAGUGCAUCCUGUGCCGGCGCGGUCCCCCGUUGCCCGCCGUCAAGGUGUGCCUGCGUUGUAACGCACCGUGCUGCCAGUCGCAUGUGCAAACCCACCUGCAGCAGCCGUGCUCGGCACUCGGGCACCUGCUGGUGGAGGCCGAGGCGGUCAAAGCGUGGACGUGUCCGCAACACGACGAGUACCGCCUAUACCACUGCGAAGCCGAGAAGACGGCGGUGUGCCAAUACUGUUGCUUCGCACGCUGCCACCCCAGCCACGGGCACGCCGUCGCCGACGUGGAGCUGCGCCGUAAUGACAUCAGACAAAGCCUACUGAGACAGCAGGAGCGCGUGGAGGAGCGCGUGCAAGAGAUCGAGGAGCAGCUAUGCAAGCUCGACUCAGACAAGUGUGUGGUAGAGGACCGUGUGCUGGAGCUGAAGGAGGAUGUGCGCUUGCAGUACCAGCGCAUGCACCAGCUCCUGGAGGAGGACCUGGGCCGGACACUUGAGGCAUUAGAGCGGGCCCAGGCGCGCUUCUGCCAGGAGAACGCCGCUCAAGUCCUGGCACUGGGUGAGCAGCGGCACGAGGCACACAAGUUGCUGAGCGCCAUCAACACGGCGUUCGGCAAGGCGGAGGAGCUGGGCUUCAUGAAGAAUACCAAGCCUGUCAAAAUCCUCACCGACAGGUCUCAGGCAUGCGUGGGAAGUACUCUUCCCCCCUACAAGGUUGGCAAUCUGAACGCCAAGCUUUUCCUCUCGGAGAUCUCCAGGCGGGAGAAGAGCUUGAAGAAAACGCUGGAAGCUCCGCUCACCCCUCCCUCCACCUUCCUGCAGUCCGUCCCGGCCUUCCCGAGCGGCCAGACCUUGGGUGCGGAGAAACGGAAGCAUUCCGCUGCCUUCCCGGAAGGAAACUCCGGCAAGAAUGGCGCGGCCAGUUUCAAAGACGCCUCUUCUUCCUCUUCUUCUUCGAGCAAGCAACCCUACCUGGGCUCCACCUCCUCUUCCUCCGGGGAGGGUCAGUCCAGCAAUCAGCCGUGCGGCCUGCCUCACAUCGUCGACGGCGCAAACCACCAUUCCGGCGGCGUCUUCGGCUCCUCGCACUUCCCUCCCGGCAGCGGGGGCGGCAGCACCGGGGCCUCCUCGCACUCCUCACAGCAGGCGGUGCUGCCGCAGUACGGCGGGCGCAAGAUCCUGGUGUGCACCAUGGAUAACUGCUACUGUUCCGGGGUUCCGUCUGUGUCGGGCCACCGCGGCCACCCGCCGUACCCGCGGUCUGGCUCCUUCCCCUGGGUCAGUGCGCAGGACUACCCACCGCCACCCGGCCUGACCUCCGGGGGUCCGUCCAUGCAGGGCCUGGCGGUGCGCGACUGGAUCGACGCCUCGCAGUCGCACAGACACGCCGACUUCUACGGGCUGUACGGGCAGCCCUCUGCAAAGCACUACGUCACCAGUUAACACACACACACACACACACACACAAGUAUACAGACUACACACAUACACACACACUGCCAAACAUGUAAUCCCAUGCUAUUCGCAAGUCAUUGAAGCCUCCCUAAUUGCCGAUAUUAAUAGUGAAACUGGACAUAUACCACAAACUAAAGACAAACAUUUUAAACACAUCUUACAUUAUACUUAGAAAUAAAUGGAUUACAGAUGAUGGGAAAAAAACAAACACUGGACUUGCACGUGGCGAAGACUCUGUAACAACCCAGGCUAAACUUAGCUCCUCCCCAACAUACAAGAGCACAAAAAUUGCAAAUUGGUAAAUUCCUUAAUUGUGAACCAUGAAUAUGCAGGGGAUUACAGUACACUGCUUUAAAGCCGUUAUAGCCUACACACAUUUAAACUACACACACACCUCUAGAAUACUAUGUAUACACAUUCGGGGGCAGGGUCGAUCUUUUUAUUUUUACUUUAUUUUCGGUCAGUGUUGUAAAAUGUACGUUUAACAAAAUGAAAACAACCAUAAAAUACAUCAUAUAGAAAUCCGAGUGGUUAUUUUAAGUGACUCGGAAGGAGGGAGGGAGGGUGGAAGCAGAAGGGAAGUUGUAUUUUUAUUUAUACAGCGAGAGAUGCAAAUGAACUUUUAAUGGGUGGAACUAAAAACUGGAAGAAGACCUGCAAGUGGUCCCCGUUUAGUGUCUGCAGAGGCUCUUCCACCGUACACCCACAAUGCACUUCGAGGACGCUUUUCCUCCCCCACACACCCUCAACUUCACAGGAAAUUUCUCUUUUUACAAGCAACUCCGGCGGAGUAGAAGAGGGUCCGACGACGCAGUUUAACGAACUUCCUUCAGGGCUACGAUGUCACUUCCUCGCAAUGAGCACACACUCACACGUCCGCGUGCGCGAUAGCUCUAGGCUUCCUGUUUGCAGCUGUAAGCGUGCAAAGGAAGAGAUUUUUUAAAGCACUCAGAAGAAGAGACAAUGUAUGCAGUUAAAAAAAAAAAAAAAAAAAAAAGUGUACGAUCUACAUUUUUUUCUAAAAAAACGAGAAUGGACUGGUCAUCCUUCUUGCGUAGAAGCCAUUUACGACCCUCGACUUUAAGAAAAAGGACUAAAAACAACAACUUGAAAGUAUCUUUUUUGUAAAUAUUUUGUGAAAUGGAAAAAUGACACGACGUGAUUUGGAGGAGAAUUCCAAAUAAAGAGGAAUUUAAAACUU